CGAGAAACUUUGCAAUGUGCGAAAGCACGACAAGGGUUAAUCCGAGUGUUUUCUGCUAAAGAAAUCUUUUGUCAGUCCUAAAACACUGAUGAAUAAGGGGUGGGCAAGUUCUGGUGUCAGCCGCCGCGGUAAAACCAGCACCUCAGGUGGUCAGGAGGAUUAUUGGGCCUAAAGCAUCCGUAGCCUGCUCUGUAAGUUUCCGGUUAAAUCCAUCAGCUCAACUGAUGGG
rnacentral:rRNA from 1 species